GAUCUGAAAUCAGGUAGGACUACCCGCUGAACUUAAGCAUAUCAAUAAGCGGAGGAAAAGAAACUAACAAGGAUUCCCCUAGUAACGGCGAGUGAAGCGGGAAGAGCUCAAAUUUAAAAUCUGGUUUGCUUGCAAAUCCGAGUUGUAGUCUGAAGAAACGUUUUCCAUGAAAGCUGAGGCACAAGUCCUUUGGAACAGGGCAUCAUAGAGGGUGAGAAUCCCGUCCAUGGCCUCAAGUCUUUUAUUUUGUGAUACGUUUUCUAAGAGUCAGGUUGUUUGGGAAUGCAGCCUAAAAUGGGUGGUAAAUUUCAUCUAAAGCUAAAUAUUGGCGAGAGACCGAUAGCGAACAAGUACCGUGAGGGAAAGAUGAAAAGAACUUUGAAAAGAGAGUUAAAAAGUACGUGAAAUUGUUGAAAGGGAACCGUUUGAAGCCAG
rnacentral:rRNA from 1 species